UGUGGUGACUGAUGAAUAGAUGGAGCACAGAGGAUUUUUAGGGCAUUGAAAAUUCUCUGUAUGAUACAAUAAUGAUGGAUACAUCUUAUUCUCUUGUCCACAGUUA